GCCGAGGUAGCUCAGAGGUAGAGCAGCGGACUGAAAAUCCGCGUGUCGGCGGUUCGAUUCCGCCUCUCGGCACCA
rnacentral:tRNA from 1 species